UACAGAGACCUCAAGCGUUUAUCCGGAAUCAUUGGGCGUAAAGCGUACCGAUAGGUGGUUUGCAAAGUCAGAGGUGAAAUCUCAAGGCUCAACCUUGAGUCUGUCCUUUGAUACUUGUAAACUAGAGGGGCAAAGAGGAAGCUGGAACGAACGGUGUAGUAGUGAAAUGCGUUGAUAUCGUUCGGAACACCAAUAGCGUAGGCAGGCUUCUGGGUGCCACCUGACACUGCUAGGACGAAAGCGUGGGGGAG
rnacentral:rRNA from 1 species